rnacentral:rRNA from 1 species
GACGAACGCUGGCGGCGUGCUUAACACAUGCAAGUCGAACGCUGAAGCUCAGCUUUUGUUGGGUGGAUGAGUGGCGAACGGGUGAGUAACACGUGAGUAACCUGCCCCCUUCUUUGGGAUAACGCCCGGAAACGGGUGCUAAUACUGGAUAUUCACUGGUCUUCGCAUGGGGGUUGGUGUAAAGGGUUUUUCUGGUGGGGGAUGGGCUCGCGGCCUAUCAGCUUGUUGUUGGGGUGAUGGCCUACCAAGGCUUUGACGGGUAGCCGGCCUGAGAGGGUGACCGGUCACAUUGGGACUGAGAUACGGCCCAGACUCCUACGGGAGGCAGAAGUGGGGAAUAUUGCACAAUGGGCGCAAGCCUGAUGCAGCGACGCCGAGUGAGGGAUGGAGGCCUUCGGGUUGUGAACCUCUUUCGCUAAUGGUCAAGCCGCAACAAUGGUUGUGGUGAGGGUAGUGGGUAAAGAAGCGCCGGCUAACUACGUG